AUUAAAUGGGUGUAUUGGACUGUACAGAGGGCUACAUCAGCUUGGAAGGAAAAGUGAUGCUCCCACUGCCCCGAGACCCCAAGCAAGCUCCUUUCUGGCAGGCGGUGGCAGUGCCCUGCUGACCAUCCUGCCCACCCAGCAGCCCCUGAGCCCACGGGUGUUGAAGGUCACACCAGGGGAGCGCUGAGUACUGCCAACACUUUGGCUUUUAUUCUCCAGGCUUGGCUGUAGCUGCAUCCCUGUGGCUCUCCACUCCCUCUCCCCCUCCAUCUUGUCAGCCGUUCUCUUUCGGCGGCACUUAAUCUUCUCAUCGUUCUCCUUCUCCCUGCUGUGCGCUGCUGCUUUUGUUCCUCCACUCUCAGAAGGAAUCUGACCUUUGCUUUAUUUCACUCCUGGCUUUUACUAACUGGGCACCAGCUUUAUUUCCCUACCUCUGCCUCCCUACCCCUACUCUUUAUGCGUAAAUUCAGCAUCUGCAGAGAGCCUACGCGAAGCCUCCUGCAUUCAGCCGCAUCCCUAAGCACGCAGCCCAGGAGAUGCUCAAGGGCGUGGAGGUGCAGGUUUGGAAAGGGAUGAACACACACCAUCGUACCCACAGCAAAGCAGGGCUGUUACGAAACUCCCGUUCAUGCUUUCCCAUCCCUUACGCGGCUCACUGGCAGAACAGCGUUUCUGUGCAUAACAAAGCAGGGUCAGCAAAUUAAAUAUAAAUUAAAUAUAAAUAACUGGCAGAUAAGCAGCUGCGCUCCGAAGGUGGAUAGUCAGUAUGUCUGUCUCCCAGGACUGCAGUCGCCGGCAGAUCCAUAGCAAUCCUGUCGCAAGAAGAGAAAGGAAGGGUGACCCGUCGUUUCCUGCCUCACGCCUGCUGGGAAUUUGAGUCCCUUGUCAGAGCUCGUCACCACGUCCCCCGUGCCAGCCUCGGGGCACGCCAUGCUCUGCUUCACCGACUGAAUUUAAACCUCUUACGUGCUGCUCAGUUGGAGGGUUUCAUAUUAAGUGUCCAAAAUCAGGUGGGUCCGUUCUGCAGCAAUGAGAAAACAUGGUAUUUCCUCUCUAAGAGUGCCAUAAAUAAGCAUAUAGGGUGCAGAGACGGUAUUGUAAAUGUUUAA
rnacentral:lncRNA from 1 species